rnacentral:lncRNA from 1 species
AAAUCUUGAGAUCAAAGUCCAUUAAGUAUAUCCUUUUGAGACAUUUUCAUUACCAAAGCAUGAUGUAACUAAAAAUUACCACAAGACUUUGACUAAUUAUUUUAAUUUAUGACCCAAGAAACUAAAUGGCAAAAAAAAAGAUUUCACCUUGAAAUUAAGGUCAAAGGUCAAGGUCAUUCAAGGUUAUGAUAUUUAAUCACAUUAGUUAACUGACUAUGCAACAACAUAUCAAAUAUCUUAGAUAUAUAUAUAAAAACAAGAUUUUUACUCUCUAAAAAAAAUCAAUUUUUAUGGAUUUUUGUAAUUAUCUCCCUUUGAAAAAGGCAAUUUUUGAAAAUGUCUGAAAAUUUUGUUUAGUCAGAUCCCGUUGACUUUUUUACAUUUUUGGAUAUCAUAAACAACAUUUUCUCAUGAAGUAUAUAGUAUUUUUGACACAAGCCCUCUGCUUUUAGUAUAUUGGGCAUGAACAAAAUACUGAAAAAUGGGUAUCAAAAUAUCCACAAGUACAUGCUUUUUGAAGUUGGAUAAAAAAAAA